GACAGGGGGUGCAAGCGUUGUUCGGAAUUACUGGGCGUAAAGCGCGUGUAGGCGGCUAUGCAAGUCGGAUGUGAAAGCCCUCGGCUCAACCGGGGAAGUGCACUCGAAACUGCAAGGCUAGAGUCUCGGAGAGGAUAGUGGAAUUCUCGGUGUAGAGGUGAAAUUCGUAGAUAUCGAGAGGAACACCGGUGGCGAAGGCGGCGAUCUGGACGAUGACUGACGCUGAGACGCGAAAGCGUGGGGAGCAAACAGG
rnacentral:rRNA from 1 species